UACGGAGGGGGCAAGCGUUGUUCGGAAUUACUGGGCGUAAAGGGCUCGUAGGCGGCCAACUAAGUCAGAUGUGAAAUCCCUCGGCUUAACCGGGGAACUGCAUCUGAUACUGGAUGGCUUGAGAUUGGGAGAGGGAUGCGGAAUUCCAGGUGUAGCGGUGAAAUGCGUAGAUAUCUGGAGGAACACCGGUGGCGAAGGCGGCAUCCUGGACCAACACUGACGCUGAGGAGCGAAAGCCAGGGGAGCAAACGGG
rnacentral:rRNA from 1 species